rnacentral:lncRNA from 1 species
AAAGUAAAACAAAGAUAUGAUGAGAUCUUGAAAAGAGCGUGCGAACCGAAAACAAAACUUUCCCCGUAGCCUGUCUUUGGACUUUGGAUAUCGCGGAGGCCGAGCAUUUCGUUGAAAAGGGAAAUGAUGGCUUUGACGGUGAUGAUGCCAUCGUUGGAGGCGGAACGGAAGAUCUUGGCCCAUGGAGAUGGUGCAGUCGCUGCGAUAGUUCUCGAAAGCAUCGGAGUGGAGGAGGAUCUCCAC